GAUGAACGCUGGCGGCGUGCCUAAUACAUGCAAGUCGAGCGAACAGACGAGGAGCUUGCUCCUCUGACGUUAGCGGCGGACGGGUGAGUAACACGUGGAUAACCUACCUAUAAGACUGGGAUAACUUCGGGAAACCGUAGCUAAUACCGGAUAAUAUAUUGAACCGCAUGGUUCAAUAGUGAAAUACGGUUUUGCUGUCACUUAUAGAUGGAUCCGCGCCGCAUUAGCUAGUUGGUAAGGUAACGCCUUACCAAGGCAACGAUGCGUAGCCGACCUGAGAGGGUGAUCGGCCAGACUGGAACUGAGACACGGUCCAGACUCCUACGGGAGGCAGCAGUAGGGAAUCUGCAGCAAUGGGCGAAAGCGUGACGGAGCAGCGCCGCGUGAGUGAUGAAGGUGUUCGGAUCGUGAAGCUCUGUUAUUAGGGAAGAACAAAUGUGUAAGUAACUAUGCACGUCUUGACGGUACCUAAUCAGAAAGCCACGGCUAACUACGUG
rnacentral:rRNA from 1 species